CCUACGGGUGGCUGCAGUGGGGAAUAUUGGACAAUGGGGGGAACCCUGAUCCAGCCAUGCCGCGUGUGUGAAGAAGGCCCUCGGGUUGUAAAGCACUUUCAGUGAGGAAGAACGCCUGGUGGUUAAUACCCAUCAGGAAAGACAUCACUCACAGAAGAAGCACCGGCUAACUCCGUGCCAGCAGCCGCGGUAAUACGGAGGGUGCGAGCGUUAAUCGGAAUUACUGGGCGUAAAGCGCGCGUAGGUGGCUUGAUAAGCCGGUUGUGAAAGCCCCGGGCUCAACCUGGGAACGGCAUCCGGAACUGUCAAGCUAGAGGGCAGGAGAGGAAGGUAGAAUUCCCGGUGUAGCGGUGAAAUGCGUAGAGAUCGGGAGGAAUACCAGUGGCGAAGGCGGCCUUCUGGACUGACACUGACACUGAGGUGCGAAAGCGUGGGUAGCAAACAGGAUUAGAUACCCUAGUAGUC
rnacentral:rRNA from 1 species